AACGCAAUAGGAGACGCAGGGAUGAACUAUGAAACCCUAAAACCCUCAACCUGCAUUGGAUGCUAUGUCUAUGAUCGAUCUGACUCAGGCAUCAACGAACGGUCUUCUCUGCGAUUCUUCAUACUCUGUUCCAGCAGCUCUACCUCCUUGGUUCCCCGAGCUCCCUCAAAUCAAGAUGCCACUAUCCUGUGCCUCUUCCCGGGUACCCGAGUUGCGGUUGCUGUCCUACCUUGCUGUUGCUUCCUGCAGCCGCUAUGAAGUUUCCUAGAGCCAUUAAGUCGAUGUUGCUACUUGCAUGCGUCCGCAGUAGCUAUGGCAAGCUCGAGCACCCACUCUUGCUUUAGUUAGUGAGGGAACUCGAAGCCUUUAUGAGCCUCUCGACAUUAGCUCGGGAGAAGUACAAAAUCCCGAAUUUAGCGGCAUGAUUAUGACUCUAUUAUUCCAAGGAUUCGAUGCUCAUGUGAAUGUUGUUGAUGAAAUGUGUGUCUUGAUUGAGAUGUGGCAUGAACCGACUUUUUAAUUGAAAUCGUCUUUUAAAA